rnacentral:rRNA from 1 species
GACGAACGCUGGCGGCGUGCCUAAUACAUGCAAGUCGAACGAGAGCAACCGGUGCUUGCACUGGUCAAUCUAGUGGCGAACGGGUGAGUAACACGUAGGUAACCUGCCCAUCAGAGGGGGAUAACAUCCGGAAACGGAUGCUAAAACCGCAUAGGUCUUCGAACCGCAUGGUUUGAAGAGGAAAAGAGGCGCAAGCUUCUGCUGAUGGAUGGACCCGCGGUGCAUUAGCUAGUUGGUGAGGUAACGGCUCACCAAGGCCGUGAUGCAUAGCCGACCUGAGAGGGUGAUCGGCCACAUUGGGACUGAGACACGGCCCAAACUCCUACGGGAGGCAGCAGUAGGGAAUCUUCCGCAAUGGACGCAAGUCUGACGGAGCAACGCCGCGUGAGUGAAGAAGGUUUUCGGAUCGUAAAACUCUGUUGUUAGAGAAGAACAAGUGCUAGAGUAACUGUUAGCGCCUUGACGGUAUCUAACCAGAAAGCCACGGCUAACUACGUG